CCUACGGGAGGCUGCAGUGAGGAAUAUUGGUCAAUGGCCGGAAGGCUGAACCAGCCAUGCCGCGUGAAGGUCAGUGCCCUAUGGGCGUUAAACUUCUUUUGUGCGGGAGCAAUAAUGGUCACGUGUGGCCAGACGAGAGUACCGUACGAAUAAGCAUCGGCUAACUCCGUGCCAGCAGCCGCGGUAAUACGGGGGAUGCAAGCGUUAUCCGGAUUUAUUGGGUUUAAAGGGUGAGUAGGCUGGGAGGUAAGUAAGGGGUGAAAUGCCCCCGCUCAACGGGGUGAAGUGCCAUUGAUACUGGCAUGCUGGCAUGCAGAUGCCGUAGGAGGAAUGUGUGGUGUAGCGGUGAAAUGCAUAGAUAUCACACAGAACACCGAUUGCGAAGGCAUCUCACGAAUCCGCGAUUGACGCUGAUGCACGAAAGCGUGGGUAUCAAACAGGAUUAGAUACCCGGGUAGUC
rnacentral:rRNA from 1 species